rnacentral:rRNA from 1 species
UUAAGUUAUUAAGGGCGCACGGUGGAUGCCUUGGCACUAGAAGCCGAUGAAGGACGUUACUAACGACGAUAUGCUUUGGGGAGCUGUAAGUAAGCUUUGAUCCAGAGAUUUCCGAAUGGGGAAACCCAGCAUGAGUUAUGUCAUGUUAUCGAUAUGUGAAUACAUAGCAUAUCAGAAGGCACACCCGGAGAACUGAAACAUCUUAGUACCCGGAGGAAGAAAAAGAAAAUUCGAUUCCCUUAGUAGCGGCGAGCGAAACGGGAAGAGCCCAAACCAACAAGCUUGCUUGUUGGGGUUGUAGGACACUCUAUACGGAGUUACAAAGGACGACAUUAGACGAAUCAUCUGGAAAGAUGAAUCAAAGAAGGUAAUAAUCCUGUAGUCGAAAAUGUUGUCUCUCUUGAGUGGAUCCUGAGUACGACGGAACACGUGAAAUUCCGUCGGAAUCUGGGAGGACCAUCUCCUAAGGCUAAAUACUCUCUAGUGACCGAUAGUGAACUAGUACCGUGAGGGAAAGGUGAAAAGCACCCCGGAAGGGGAGUGAAAUAGAACCUGAAACCGUGUGCUUACAAGUAGUCAGAGCCCGUUAAUGGGUGAUGGCGUGCCUUUUGUAGAAUGAACCGGCGAGUUACGAUUUGAUGCAAGGUUAAGCAGUAAAUGUGGAGCCGUAGCGAAAGCGAGUCUGAAUAGGGCGUUUAGUAUUUGGUCGUAGACCCGAAACCAGGUGAUCUACCCUUGGUCAGGUUGAAGUUCAGGUAACACUGAAUGGAGGACCGAACCGACUUACGUUGAAAAGUGAGCGGAUGAACUGAGGGUAGCGGAGAAAUUCCAAUCGAACCUGGAGAUAGCUGGUUCUCUCCGAAAUAGCUUUAGGGCUAGCCUCAAGUGAUGAUUAUUGGAGGUAGAGCACUGUUUGGACGAGGGGCCCCUCUCGGGUUACCGAAUUCAGACAAACUCCGAAUGCCAAUUAAUUUAACUUGGGAGUCAGAACAUGGGUGAUAAGGUCCGUGUUCGAAAGGGAAACAGCCCAGACCACCAGCUAAGGUCCCAAAAUAUAUGUUAAGUGGAAAAGGAUGUGGCGUUGCCCAGACAACUAGGAUGUUGGCUUAGAAGCAGCCAUCAUUUAAAGAGUGCGUAAUAGCUCACUAGUCGAGUGACACUGCGCCGAAAAUGUACCGGGGCUAAACAUAUUACCGAAGCUGUGGAUUGUCCUUUGGACAAUGGUAGGAGAGCGUUCUAAGGGCGUUGAAGCAUGAUCGUAAGGACAUGUGGAGCGCUUAGAAGUGAGAAUGCCGGUGUGAGUAGCGAAAGACGGGUGAGAAUCCCGUCCACCGAUUGACUAAGGUUUCCAGAGGAAGGCUCGUCCGCUCUGGGUUAGUCGGGUCCUAAGCUGAGGCCGACAGGCGUAGGCGAUGGAUAACAGGUUGAUAUUCCUGUACCACCUAUAAUCGUUUUAAUCGAUGGGGGGACGCAGUAGGAUAGGCGAAGCGUGCGAUUGGAUUGCACGUCUAAGCAGUAAGGCUGAGUAUUAGGCAAAUCCGGUACUCGUUAAGGCUGAGCUGUGAUGGGGAGAAGACAUUGAGUCUUCGAGUCGUUGAUUUCACACUGCCGAGAAAAGCCUCUAGAUAGAAAAUAGGUGCCCGUACCGCAAACCGACACAGGUAGUCAAGAUGAGAAUUCUAAGGUGAGCGAGCGAACUCUCGUUAAGGAACUCGGCAAAAUGACCCCGUAACUUCGGGAGAAGGGGUGCUCUUUAGGGUUAACGCCCAGAAGAGCCGCAGUGAAUAGGCCCAAGCGACUGUUUAUCAAAAACACAGGUCUCUGCUAAACCGUAAGGUGAUGUAUAGGGGCUGACGCCUGCCCGGUGCUGGAAGGUUAAGAGGAGUGGUUAGCUUCUGCGAAGCUACGAAUCGAAGCCCCAGUAAACGGCGGCCGUAACUAUAACGGUCCUAAGGUAGCGAAAUUCCUUGUCGGGUAAGUUCCGACCCGCACGAAAGGCGUAACGAUUUGGGCACUGUCUCAACGAGAGACUCGGUGAAAUCAUAGUACCUGUGAAGAUGCAGGUUACCCGCGACAGGACGGAAAGACCCCGUGGAGCUUUACUGUAGCCUGAUAUUGAAAUUCGGCACAGCUUGUACAGGAUAGGUAGGAGCCUUUGAAACGUGAGCGCUAGCUUACGUGGAGGCGCUGGUGGGAUACUACCCUAGCUGUGUUGGCUUUCUAACCCGCACCACUUAUCGUGGUGGGAGACAGUGUCAGGCGGGCAGUUUGACUGGGGCGGUCGCCUCCUAAAAGGUAACGGAGGCGCUCAAAGGUUCCCUCAGAAUGGUUGGAAAUCAUUCAUAGAGUGUAAAGGCAUAAGGGAGCUUGACUGCGAGACCUACAAGUCGAGCAGGGUCGAAAGACGGACUUAGUGAUCCGGUGGUUCCGCAUGGAAGGGCCAUCGCUCAACGGAUAAAAGCUACCCCGGGGAUAACAGGCUUAUCUCCCCCAAGAGUUCACAUCGACGGGGAGGUUUGGCACCUCGAUGUCGGCUCAUCGCAUCCUGGGGCUGUAGUCGGUCCCAAGGGUUGGGCUGUUCGCCCAUUAAAGCGGUACGCGAGCUGGGUUCAGAACGUCGUGAGACAGUUCGGUCCCUAUCCGUCGUGGGCGUAGGAAAUUUGAGAGGAGCUGUCCUUAGUACGAGAGGACCGGGAUGGACAUACCUCUGGUGUACCAGUUGUCGUGCCAACGGCAUAGCUGGGUAGCUAUGUGUGGACGGGAUAAGUGCUGAAAGCAUCUAAGCAUGAAGCCCCCCUCAAGAUGAGAUUUCCCAACUUCGGUUAUAAGAUCCCUCAAAGAUGAUGAGGUUAAUAGGUUCGAGGUGGAAGCAUGGUGACAUGUGGAGCUGACGAAUACUAAUCGAUCGAAGACUUAAUCAA